rnacentral:rRNA from 1 species
UACGUAGGGCGCAAGCGUUGUCCGGAAUUAUUGGGCGUAAAGGGCUCGUAGGCGGUUUGUCGCGUCGGGAGUGAAAUCCACUGGCUUAACUGGUGGCUUGCUUUCGAUACGGGCAGACUGGAGGUAUGCAGGGGAGAACGGAAUUCCUGGUGUAGCGGUGAAAUGCGCAGAUAUCAGGAGGAACACCGGUGGCGAGGGCGGUUCUCUGGGCAUGUCCUGACGCUGAGGAGCGAAAGUGUGGGGAGCGAACAGG